GGUUAGAGCCCUGAGGCAGCUGGUUAAUCUUUGGGCCACUUCCGUGAGGCCAGGGAAAAAGCAAAAGUACAAAGGACAGGAUGAGCCCACACGCCGAGCAGCAGAGCCCCGCGGGCAGCGUCCCGCCUCCCCUGGUGAGCCGACGGCACAGGUGUGUUACAAGGGCGCCCGUAGUGCCUCCCACCCCACCGCACGUGCCAGCGGCACAGAGACCGGUUCCCCACACACGUGCACGGCUUCACCUCGGGAGACGACGCCACGACCUGGGAUGGCCGGCAGAGCUGUGGACCUGCGAUCUGGACCACACACCAGCCCUGGGAGCAACUGACGAUACAACACGGAGAAGCCAGGAUAAAGCGAUGGGAGGAUGGCGGGGAUGCAGGCUAAUCAGCAGGCCUGGCCGAGCGGUUCGCAGGAGAACAGGCACCAGACGUGAGGGGCAGUGGGUGCAGGUGUAGCCACACAGAAGGAGGGCCGCGGAGGGCCCGAAGCCCCGGCGACUGCGCAGGCGCGCCCGCGCCCGCCCCACCCCGUCACCGUGAGGCCGUGGCAGCUGUGUUGACUUUUCGGGACCGGCAGCAGGACACCCCGGCUCAGCCAGGGCCGCGGACGCAGCGCUUCUGAUCUGGCGCCAGAGAACCAGACCGAGGUGAGGUCAGCGGCCCCCCCGCGGGCCCUCCUCCGCGUCCCCUCCAACACCGCACACAGGAGACCAGCGCUGGCCGACGCUCAGCGCGCUCUGCAUGUGUGGCCCUCUCGCCACAGGACAACUGGUGGCGAGCGAUGUAAGAACACUGUCAGUCAAGCAGGGACUCAGGUGGAGGAGAGAGAACCAGGUCCCUGGCCCCACGCCAGCAACUCUGGGCUACGUCCCGGAGGGCCUUCCGCCCGCGCACUGCUGCUGCUUCCGGUCUCCGGGAAGAGCCCACAGCCCCAUGGACGAAAGCCAGUCUCCCUCCUCCCCAGACGGUGGAGUACAAAGAAGCGAACACGGGUGAAGAAAAUGUUCUAAAAUUAAAUAAUGGUAACGACUGCACAACUCGGAAAAUACUAGACCCUACUGAAUUUAUACUUCAAAGCUCAUGGUAAUCUUCACCUUGGAGGCAGUCCACAGAGCUGAUUACAUGUGCUGGUGAACACAGUUACUCUGGAGAACACAGCAAGAUUCACGAUGGACAGAAAAGAAGGAAGGA